AAGGUCUUUGUUGUUUUCUUUGUCUAAUUUUUGGCGAUUAAUCUGUAUUUAAAGGCCAAAAUGCCGAAGAAAAUGAGCAAAACAGUGGAAGAGGUGAUCGAGGAGGUCACUACUGCUGACUCUGGGGAUGAAUAUCCUUUCUCAGCCGACGAAUCCACGGAGAAUAGUGGGGAGGGCGAGCACGUGCAAGCAAACAGCUAGAGCAUAAACAUUGACAUUUCUGUCAAUGAUCAUGGCCGUGGAGGAGUCCAGGGGCAAGGUUGGGCCAAGGUCGGGGCCGGGGUGGCAGACGGGGUUGCGGGGGAGUCAGUGGAAGAAGCCAGGGAACUUGGGGACGUGGCUGGGCACCCACGAGGGGACGCGCACAUACAUGUAGCAGACGACGUGGCACCUGAGGGAUUUAAAUCCCCCAGCCUGCUGCCGCUGCCACACAACAGCUGAUCCACGUCUGGAUUAGAAAAACUGGCAGCCUGUAGAUGGUGACAGCUUACCUCAUCUUCCACGUUUUCAUUGGACACAGUGACCAGGCAAUGCUGAUCUUGUCAGGACCUCUCAGGAACUGUUUACUCAUGGUGCAAGCUAUACUGAUGGUACUAGGGUCACUAGGGUGGGUUAUAUUGAAGUAAUGUGGAAAAUGUAUGUUUUUAUUGCUUUUACCUUUUUAUUAUGUAUCAAGUUGGUGUUCUCAAGUUGAUUAUCUUGUCUGAAGACAGUAUGGACUGUAAGCUUUAACCUGAUAUGCAUCAUGUGUAUGUACUAUCUUUUUUUAGGUAUAUAUAUAGGAAGAAGUGAAAUGUAUUGUGAGGAAUCAGCUUAUUAGCUAAAUAGAUGGUUCAGCACCAUAGACAAAACUGAGCCAUAAACUCACCUGUAGUUUCAUCUGUAUACCAGUUGUUCUUCUGUAUGCAAUUCUGAUCUUGUCAGAACCUCUCAGGAACUGUAUACUCAUGGUGCAAGCUAUGCUGAUGGUACUAGGGUGGGUUGUAUUGCAGGUUUCUGGAAAUUGUAUGUUUUUAUUGCUUUCACCUUUUUAUUAUGUUUGUAGUUAAUGUUAUCAUGUUGAUAAUCUUGUCUGAAGACAGUAUGGACUGUAAGCAUUAACCUGAUAUGCAUCAUGUGUAUGUACUAUCUUUCAUAAAGGUAUAGGAAUACAUUGUGAGGAAUCAGCUUAUUAGCUGAAUACUUGGUUCAGCACCAUAGACAAAACCGAGCCAUAAACUCACCUGUAGUGACACCUGUAUACCAGUUGUUCUUCUGUAUGCAAUGCUGAUCUUGUCAGGACCUCUCAGGAACUGUAUACUCAUGGUACAAGCUAUGCUGAUGGUACUAGGGUGGGUUGUAUUGCAGGUAUGUGGAAAUUGUAUGUUUUUAUUGCUUUCACCUUUUUAUUAUGUUUGUAGUUAAUGUUAUCAUGUUGAUAAUCUUGUCUGAAGACAGUAUGGACUGUAAGCUUUAAGCUGAUAUGCAUCAUGUGUAUGUACUAUCUUUCAUAAAGGUAUAGGAAGAACUGAAAUGUAUUGUGAGGAAUCAGCUUGUUAGCUAAAUAGAUGGUUCAGCACCAUAGACAAAACCGAGCCAUAAACUCACCUGUAGUGACAUCUGUAUACCAGUUGUUCUUCUGUAUGCAAUGCUGAUCUUGUCAGAACCUCUUAGGUACUGUAUACUCAUGGUACAAGCUAUGCUGAUGGUACUAGGGUGGUUUGUAUUGAAGAAAUGCAGAAAAUGUAUGUUUUUAUUGCUUUUACCUUUUUAUUAUGUAUACAGAUGGUGUUAUCAUGUUGAUAAUCUUGUCUGAAGAUAGUAUGGACUGUAAGCUUUAACCUGAUAUGCAUGAUGUGUAUGUACUAUCUUUCAUAAAGGUAUAGGAUGAAGUGAAAUGUAUUGUGAGGAAUCAGCUUAUUAGCUGAAUACUUGGUUCAGCACCAAAGACAACACCAAGCCAUAAACUCACACCUGUAGUGACACCUGUAUACCAUUUUUUCUUCUGUAUGCGAUGCUGAUCUUGUCAUGAUAUCCCAGCAAUACUGUAAGCUUUAAUACAUAUCCUUUUUGUAUGGUUUGAACAGAAUAAUGCAUAAAGAUUAUAAAACUAUGCA